GACGAACGCUGGCGGCGUGCUUAACACAUGCAAGUCGAACGGAAAGGCCCUGCUUUUGUGGGGUGCUCGAGUGGCGAACGGGUGAGUAACACGUGAGUAACCUGCCCUUGACUUUGGGAUAACUUCAGGAAACUGGGGCUAAUACCGGAUAGGAGCUCCUGCUGCAUGGUGGGGGUUGGAAAGUUUCGGCGGUUGGGGAUGGACUCGCGGCUUAUCAGCUUGUUGGUGGGGUAGUGGCUUACCAAGGCUUUGACGGGUAGCCGGCCUGAGAGGGUGACCGGCCACAUUGGGACUGAGAUACGGCCAAGACUCCUACGGGAGGCAGCAGUGGGGAAUAUUGCACAAUGGGCGGAAGGCUGAUGCAGCAACGCCGCGUGCGGGAUGACGGCCUUCGGGUUGUAAACCGCUUUCGCCUGUGACGAAGCGUGAGUGACGGUAAUGGGUAAAGAAGCACCGGCUAACUACGU
rnacentral:rRNA from 1 species